rnacentral:lncRNA from 1 species
UAAAAGACGAAUUUGAUAUAUUAUCAGUAAAAAAAAGGUUACAAAUAGCUAUAUAAGUGAUUACAGCAGCAAAACAAAUUGGCACAGUUUGAAAAAACACCAGUUUUUUUUCCACAUUCGUCCACACCCAACUUCAGGUGUAAGUAAACAAGGUAAAAAUAGAAAGAAAAUUAAAAUGAUGAUCCACUUCUACAAAAACAAUAAUCAAGUAAAAUAAUUCCAAAAAAAAAAUGCUCUUAACAAUAAAACUAAUUAUAUGUAAGAAAGAUAAGACCAUGUUUUGCAAUGUGGAACUAUUUUAAACCAUGUAAAAUAAUUGAAAAAUUAUGAAAGUGCCGAGUGUUAUUAAUAGAAAUACUGUUUAUCAACUAACUUUCGCACCUUGCAGCAGCGAUAUAAGUGCUUAAAACUAAGAAAUUUUUACUCGAAUUAACAAAAAUUUUAAAACCAAGAUGUUCCUCGACACGUACUCGUUAGUAACAAAUAAAAAAGAAUUACACGUAACGACUGUAAUUUACAUGAAUAACAGAAAAUGAGCUUGAGGUAAAGCUCACGUUGCAACUACUUUAUUUUCAACUUAUCUAAAAACAAUGCUUGUUUACCGGGACGUAGCCAGAAAGACGUUGUUUUCCGGAUGUUUUCGUUGAUUUUUUUUGACAGGUAUCUAUAAAUAUUUACUUGAAAAUUAGUAUCUAAAUGAUGAUAGUCACAAUGACUUUUUCGAAGCGGUUAAUCGCGAUGUCCUUGAUUACUGUACCUUGUAAACUGCGCCAUAUCAAUAUCAUAAAGUACUUCACCAGAUCCAGGUAAAAUAAUAAAAUUUAAUGUUUUUAACUGUUAAAAAUAGAUUAAUAUAAUAAAGAUUUCAGUCUGGUGAUUGUUCCAUUAACUGGAGGGUUAAUUUAAUCAGAGAUAGUUAAAGUUAUGCAUGACUUUCAAUAGAGUGAAGUUGUUUAGAAUGAGUCAUUUCGCAACAUUCUAUUCCCUUUAAAAAAAUUUAUGAUUAAUUUGUCAGUUACUCCAUAUAUAUAUAUAUAUAUAUAUAUAUAUAUGGAGCGCACAGCUUCCGAAACACUAAUUCACACUCAAAUUAUAAGAAAGGUAUGCUUUAUUGAAGUCAAUAUUUUAGAUGAAUUAAUCAAUGCUACUUUAACAGUGGUGAAGUUUAAAUAAUACUAACAUUUUCAACCUUAUUAAUGGACCAUCUUCAGGUGUGGGAAGUUGAAAUUGAGAGCUCAUUCACAGGGUCAAAAACAUUAACAAUGGGUGAAGUUUAAAUAGUGCUAAAGGUACAUUGAUUAAUUCAACUGAGUAAUCACAAUGGCUAGUUCACUUAUCACAAAUAUUUUGAAAAUCUUUAGAACUUAACUACUUUUGAGCAUCUCUCGCUCAUGCUUUAGGAGUUAUUGAGCCUGUAAAAGUGGGCCAGAUUAGCAUGAAAGCAUUUCAGCUUUAAAUAAGGAAAUAUUAACUUCAAUAAAGCAUAUUUUUCUUAUAAUUAAGGAACUAUUAAUGAAACUUCAAAAAUUUAUGGGUUUGCAGGUUACUUAAGUUCUACGAAUGAUGAUUUAAUAUUUAAAAUGGACUCUAAUUCAGUUAAUGAUAUGAAUAUUUUUGUAAAAUAUAUCCAGAUAUGGUAAUAAUUAGAGCAGAUCUGUAUCUAUGAUAAGACAAUAUCUAUUUUUAUCUACAUUACAUCUCUUGUACUUAACUAUAAAAGAAAAUCUUAAGUUGACCAACAUUUAUCUGAAUUAUCUUAGGUUAAAGUUUACUAAACAACAUGUUAAAAGGAUUUAGAAAAACAUUAUGAUGGAAAGUUUUAAUAGUAAAUAAACCUUCACUACACUUCACUACAAAAGGAAACACUGAUUCACUCAUGUAUUUUCAGUAGCAGGUUGGUUAUUUGUGAUUUAGCACAUUGUUCUGGUAAGGAAGUGAGGUCGACUCUAACUCAGUUUGAAACACUGAGCUGAAGUGAAAACAGGUGUUCACACCAUCUGUGAGACCAGGAAGGAAGUAGAUGCAAUCGAUGGCAGAAAGGUAGCGACUACAUGUAGUGGAUGUGGAAAGUUUGAUCACCCAUUUUUCAUAACAACUGAUUUCAGGAUAUGAAGAAUUGCAGUUGUAAUUGCUUCAUGCACAAAUGCAAAGGUAAGUGUCUGCUUCUUCCAUUAAUAACUCCAAACCUGAACACUUGCAUUUAACCAUAAUAUCGUAUUGUGAAAGUGGCAAAAUAAGAUGUCUAUUUACUACUACCUACGAUAUAAUCUUCUUUUUUGUAGGUCAGAUCCAAAGCACAUCAAAGUGGGCUCCAAAAAUAGGCUUGCAGCUGUGUUCAGAGAGAAGAUUUUAACAAAGAAAGGAUGUAGCUUCUGUCAUUUUUGAAAGAAGGGAAGUUGAACUUCCUUUAGAUGGAUGAAUCAGAAGCAGACACUACAGAGCUGUCAGACAGAGCCGGCAACCGUCUCUAUAAAUAGGGGCUUUUUCCCACCAUUCGGGGCAGUUCAAAGAAUUACGAACAUGCCAUAGGAGGUAGUCCUCCGAAGAAGGUUACCAUAUAGUACAGAAUCGGCCAUAUUUUAAAUAGUGCAUACACAAAUGCUAUGAUUCUAAACUUCUCCCAUAUUGUGAACGGAAAAGAUAGCCGAAGACAAGAAUAAGCCUCAUAUUGUGAAGGUAGUAUAAUCUGUUAGAUUGAUGUAAACUCUCUCUCACGCAUAUAGGUUGAUUUAGAUUAAGUUAGAUAGUUGAUUUUUCUCUCUGCGAGAUAGGUUCAGAAAAUAUCAUUUGUAAUCCUAUUAAUUGUAUUAUUAUUUUGUUUGAUUAAUUAAAUUUUAUUGUUAUUUGUUUAUAAUAUGGCCUCAUCCAUGACUUGAAUAUGCACAACCAGUUUCUCAACUACUUCACCACCCUCUUUUACGGAAUUCCUCGCGAAUAAGUAACACAUGACAGUCCAUGAACUAGACUAUCUGGUGUCGGGAAUCCUGACAGGAGACCGGAUUACACAAUCAUACGUCUCCACUGUUCUAAUAAAUACUUUUAUAGCCCUCCUUAGACGUAGAGAUUGGAUCUCACAAUCUUGUGCAGAUUAAGUGGUCAUUAGAACUUACCUGUGACCCUCUGCUUAUCUCAAAUUUCCAAGGUAAGGGAAACAAUUAAUUCUUCAACUAUCACCAUACAAUACAUGUACUCAAAUAGCUUACAAGAUAUAUUCCCAAAUUUUUAUGUGCUCUCAGAUUGUUAAUAACCCUUCCUGUAAUAGUUACAAAUGCAGACAGAAGUUAUCAAAGUUAAAAACUUUGAAAAAUAUUAUUUGCAUAUAACAGAUUCAAGAUCACAUGCAUGAUCUAAUAUUAAUUUUAAUCAAACAUAAAGUAUGCCACAGGCUUUCUCAUGAUUGUCUUAUUGAUGAAUUUGUAGGUUGGAAAGCAAGGAAAGUUUUUUUUGAAAAUAAAUGAGUUUCUGAGCUAGUGGUAUAAUUUUUCGUUUUCCAUUGAUAAACAACACUACAAAACCUGAUACAUUAUAAUAAUAAAGCCAACCACUGUCAUAUGCCAUAUGCCAGUAAUUUAUUAUUAAUAUAGCUGUUAUAUAUCCUGAUGGCAUAUAGUAGUGGUUGGCUUUAUUUCCAUUGAGCCCAGAUUGCUCUAAAGCUGCCACUGGAAGAUAGGAAAUGAUGGCUUGUUUCAUGCACUUAUAAAUUUUGAGGAUCUAUACACUCCCAUAGUUUGUCAUACAUUAUGGAUUCUUAUUCACUUUAAACUUGUAUUCCGUAUGAAUGGGAAAACACCUUAAUCACACAGCUAUUAUUAUAAUCGCCAACUUUAAAGAACUUUAGAAGGAAAUGUUAAGAAAUAAAAUAAAACAAAGGUUUCAAAAAGCAGCAAUAGUAGUAACAGAAAUUUAAUAUUACAAAAAAAAUAUAGAGAAUUACAGUGGAACCUCAGUUAAUGACCAAAUCAGUUAACAAACUUUUAUUUUGCAAAAGUUUUGUCUCAGAUAACAAAUGUAAUGGAUUUUUGUAUGAAAUUUUAGUUGCUUUUAGGCAUGUGUGAGUUAAGCAUUGCUUUUCCGAGUGUUUGUGCUAAACUUUUUUUUUCAAUUUUGCAAUUUAUAUACUUAAUCAAUAUGGCAUCCAAGAAAGAGAAAAGUGAUAGUGGCAAUAGAAAAUGACAAUGCGAUAUGAACAACAAUGUGCUAUCGCAUUUGAGAAAAAUUUUGAUUAAAAAAAGACAAUCAAUUUUAGAUCAAUUUCUUGUUCCUUACCAAAAGAGACCUCAACUUGAAGAAUCUUCCCAUGAAGUGCUAUCCGUUAUUUUCUUGGAGAGAGAUUCCCCUUCUAAGCAUUAAGCUCCGCCCUCUGCCAUCAACAAUAACAAACGAAGGUAUGUACAAUGCUAUUUUAUUAAAUAAAGUUUACACGUUUGUUGCUGUAAUGAUAGUUACUAUGUUUUC